UACGGAGGGUGCAAACGUUGCUCGGAAUCAUUGGGCGUAAAGCGCGCGUAGGCGGCGAGGCAAGUUGGAUGUGAAAGCCCUGGGCUCAACCUAGGAUGUGCAUACAAAACUGCCUCGCUUGAAUCUCGGAGGGGGUCAGGGAAGUCCCGGUGUAGAGGUGAAAUUCGUAGAUAUCGGGAGGAACACCAGUGGCGAAGGCGCUGACCUGGCCGAUGAUUGACGCUGAGGCGCGAAAGCGUGGGGAGCAAACAGG
rnacentral:rRNA from 1 species